rnacentral:lncRNA from 1 species
UGAAUAUUUAUGUCCCCCUAAAAUUUAUAUGUUAAAAUCCUAACCCUCAAGAUGCUGGUAUUAGGAGGUGGGGCUUUUGGGAGGUGAUUAGGUCAUGACAGCAAAACCCUCAUGAAUGAGAUUAGUGCCCUUUUAAAAGAGACUCCAGAGAGCAAGCUUGCCCCUUCCUCAGUGUGAACACAAAGCGAGAAGUGUCAUCUAAGAACCAGGAAGUGGACCCUCACCACGCACAGAAUCUGCCUUGAUCUUGGACUUCCCAGUCUCCAGAACUCCUCUCAGGAGAAAGCUCUGCCACCCCUGUAUCUCCUGCCCAUUGAGUUUUCUUUCCACCUUCUUGGUCCCUCUCUGAAUGAUACACUUAGUUCUGGGCUACGGUUCACCAUCUCUGGCCAGCAGCACCAGCUUCAACAACUGCAUCAGACAACACAGCAAGAAAGCAGCCAUCUGCAAUCUGGGAAGAGAGCCCUCACCAGAACCUGAUGAAGCAGGCAGCCUGAGCUCGGACUUCCAGCCUCCAGAACUGUGAAAAAUAAAUGUCUGUUGCUUAAACCAC